AGAAAAAUCUGACACACACACACACUCAUUUCUCUUUUUGAUUUCCAUCCAUUUUUUUCCGUUCUUCGUAUCCAUCUCAUUCACAAUAUUUUUGGAAUCAUAAUAAAUACGAUACGAUACG
rnacentral:ribozyme from 1 species